GAUGAAGAACGUAGCGAAAUGCGAUAAGUAAUGCGAAUUGCAGAAUUUCCGUGAGUCAUCGAAUCUUUGAACGCACAUUGCGCCCAUUGGCAUUCCGAUGGGCAUGCCUGUUCGAGCGUCAUUAUCCUCCCUCAAACCCCUGGGUUUGGUGUUGGACUGUGUGGUGCCUGGCACCACUGGUCUCAAAGACAAUGACGGCGUCCGUGGGACCCUCGGUGCAACGAGCUUUUCGAAGCACGCGUCGAGUGGACAGUCUCUCCGGGCCGGUCACCUCUCCAAUUUUUCUCAGGUUGACCUCGGAUCAGGUAGGAAUACCCGCUGAACUUAAGCAUACAAUAAGCGGAGGA
rnacentral:misc_RNA from 1 species